rnacentral:lncRNA from 1 species
GUUUUUUUUUUUUUCAGCAACAUCUGACAUAAGAUAUACAUUCCUACUAGAUAGAGACAUCAACUGCCUAAUUUUGAAUUCUUUUUUAACUUCACUGUUGCCAAUUUAACUAUCUUAGCCCAACUUGUCACUUCAGCAAUGGAAGCAAUAAAUGCCUUCUAAUAAGGGACCAAGAUAUACUCCUUCAUUUGGGGAUGAGAGAAACUGACUUAUUUAUGAGAUGAAGCCAGCUUUAGAAAUUACUAGGUAAAAUAAAUAUUUUGGCCAGGGAAAACAUCUUUUGAAUAGAAGAAAGUUCUUUAGCUCCUAAAAACCAUUUAUUUUCAUAGCGCAAGCUCCAUUUUCCAGUCUGUUCUACUCUGUCCCUACCCCACCUUCAGUUUUUUCAUUAAGGGACAGGCUUUCUGCUCUUAAAAGAGUUGGCUAGCUUUAUGGUUUCCUUUAUUUUUUUUUUCCUUUUACCUAAAAAGUUUAAAAUUAGCCCAACGAUCUUUGUUUUGAGUCUUUUUUCAGUUGCUAGAAGCAAAACCUCAGCAAUUGCACAAGAAACCAGAAUUUAAAAAAAAAAAAAGGAAAAGUAAUCUCUUUAGCAUUGGCCCCUUUUCACAUCUUGAAAAUGCUUUGUUCGUUUUGCCAAGAUAAUAAAAAGCAAAGGCUGUAUUGUCGCUCCAUAGACUCUGAUUAGCCAAGGAAAAUCAUUUCAAAAUAACCCACACUGAGAUUGGUUGUACAUAAAUUGAAUCCAGUUUUUAUCUGAAAAGUUUUGUAUAUAUCUAUAUGAUUUGAAACAUUUGUCUUAAGCUGGCAGCAAGUCUCCUUUAAAUGUCCUCUCAUUCAUAGACACUUGAAAGGGAACAAACCAAAAUGCCAAGUACUCCCCCGGCAGAUCAGCAAAUCAUUUGCUCCAUACAUUCCAUGCAAUUUAAAGCAGCUGCUAUGAAAUAUAACCUGCAUAUAUUGUGAUUUUUUUUAAAAUACCCAGAUCCUAUCCCACUUAAAAUACCAGUAAACACCAAAUUCUGGCAUAUCUACUAUAAACUUAGUUCAGUAGCUACUCCUAACACCAUGUAUUUGGUGAGAGGUAUCAGGAAUGGCUCAUGAUAAUCACAUGUGGUAUUUUUAUCAUUUGCAAAUCACCCACUGGUAAGCAAAACAUUAACAUUCUGCACAUAUUUCACUCUUGUUAUCUAUACAGUUUAUCCCAUGAUACUAUAUUUGCCAGUGCAUAAUUAAACACUGUGUUCUCUAUUUAAACAGUAUUGUUCAAUCAAAACUUUGUGACCCUUCAUCUAUGAAUAUUGAAUAUAUGUAAUGC